rnacentral:rRNA from 1 species
UACGUAGGGUGCGAGCGUUGUCCGGAAUUAUUGGGCGUAAAGAGCUUGUAGGCGGUUUGUCGCGUCUGCCGUGAAAAUUCGAGGCUCAACCUCGAACUUGCGGUGGGUACGGGCAGACUAGAGUGUGGUAGGGGGAGACUGGAAUUCCUGGUGUAGCGGUGAAAUGCGCAGAUAUCAGGAGGAACACCGAUGGCGAAGGCACUCUGCUGGGCCGACACUGACACUGAGAGACGAAAGCUAGGGGAGCGAAUGGG